UGGGUCGGCCGGGCGGUCGCGUCGUGCGAUGAGCACGCCGAGGAACGUCCGGGCUCCACAGGGCACGGUGGUGGGUAACGCCCACCCGGAGCAAUCCGCGAGACAGUGCAACAGAAAGCAGACCGCCGGCUCCGGCCGGUAAGGGUGAAACGGUGGUGUAAGAGACCACCAGGGGCCGUGGUGACAUGGCCCGCUGGGUAAACCUCACCGGGAGCAAGACCAGACAGGGGAUGUUGACGCGGCCCGCCGAGUCCCCGGGUAGGUUGCUGGAGCGGCGCGGCAACGCGUCGCGGAGAGAGAUGGCCGCCGACGGAGCGAGAGCUCCCGAACAGAACCCGGCGUACAGGCCGGCCCAUUCG
rnacentral:RNase_P_RNA from 3 species